UGGGAGCUUGCUCCCUGAUGUUAGCGGCGGACGGGUGAGUAACACGUGGGUAACCUGCCUGUAAGACUGGGAUAACUCCGGGAAACCGGGGCUAAUACCGGAUGGUUGUUUGAACCGCAUGGUUCAAACAUAAAAGGUGGCUUCGGCUACCACUUACAGAUGGACCCGCGGCGCAUUAGCUAGUUGGUGAGGUAACGGCUCACCAAGGCAACGAUGCGUAGCCGACCUGAGAGGGUGAUCGGCCACACUGGGACUGAGACACGGCCCAGACUCCUACGGGAGGCAGCAGUAGGGAAUCUUCCGCAAUGGACGAAAGUCUGACGGAGCAACGCCGCGUGAGUGAUGAAGGUUUUCGGAUCGUAAAGCUCUGUUGUUAGGGAAGAACAAGUACCGUUCGAAUAGGGCGGUACCUUGACGGUACCUAACCAGAAAGCCACGGCUAACUACGUGCCAGCAGCCGCGGUAAUACGUAGGUGGCAAGCGUUGUCCGGAAUUAUUGGGCGUAAAGGGCUCGCAGGCGGUUUCUUAAGUCUGAUGUGAAAGCCCCCGGCUCAACCGGGGAGGGUCAUUGGAAACUGGGGAACUUGAGUGCAGAAGAGGAGAGUGGAAUUCCACGUGUAGCGGUGAAAUGCGUAGAGAUGUGGAGGAACACCAGUGGCG
rnacentral:rRNA from 1 species